GUUAUGAAAGGUGGUUUGGGUGAUAUCAAUACCAGGUGAUGAGCACCCUGUCAUGUAGUCAAAGGUGAACUCAGAAACCAAUCAACUAACUCAAGUCAAUAAAUAAAGCAUUUUCACCUGACUUCAGAAAAAUAUGAUUUAAGAAAACAAAGAGACUCCGACUCAAAUAAACAUUAUUUUUAAAAGUGUA